GACGAACGCUGGCGGCGUGCUUAACACAUGCCAGUCGAACGGAAAGGCCCUGCUUUUGUGGGGUGCUCGAGUGGCGAACGGGUGAGUAACACGUGAGUAACCUGCCCUUGACUUUGGGAUAACUUCAGGAAACUGGGGCUAAUACCGGAUAGGAGCUCCUGCUGCAUGGUGGGGGUUGGAAAGUUUCGGCGGUUGGGGAUGGACUCGCGGCUUAUCAGCUUGUUGGUGGGGUAGUGGCUUACCAAGGCUUUGACGGGUAGCCGGCCUGAGAGGGUGACCGGCCACAUUGGGACUGAGAUACGGCCCAGACUCCUACGGGAGGCAGCAGUGGGGAAUAUUGCACAAUGGGCGGAAGCCUGAUGCAGCAACGCCGCGGGCGGGAGGACGGCCUUCGGGUUGUAAACCGCUUUCGCCUGUGACGAAGCGUGAGUGACGGUAAUGGGUAAAGAAGCACCGGCUAACUACGUGC
rnacentral:rRNA from 1 species